rnacentral:rRNA from 1 species
GACAGAGAGUGCAAACGUUGUUCGGAAUUACUGGGCGUAAAGCGCGUGUAGGCUGCUUGGAAAGUCGGGUGUGAAAGCCCUGAGCUCAACUCAGGAAGUGCACUCGAAACUUCCAAGCUCGAGUCCUGGAGAGGGUGGCGGAAUUCUCGGUGUAGAGGUGAAAUUCGUAGAUAUCGAGAGGAACACCGGUGGCGAAGGCGGCUACCUGGACAGUGACUGACGCUGAGACGCGAAAGCGUGGGGAGCAAACAGG